rnacentral:lncRNA from 1 species
ACAAGUGUAGCCAGUAGACUAAGAAAGAGGAAGAGUAUGGCUGAGAUAAGGACAGGUAGGAAAGAGAAAAGGGUUGCUGGUAUAGGUCCCUCCAAAUCUUGGAGUAAAGUAGAGGUCAGGAAGAAGAAAGACAGUGAAAUUUCUGAAUCUAAUGAGAAUGUUGAAGAUGAUGUUCCAGACAUCUCCUCUGACAAAAGAAAGGUUGUAAAGAAGUCUUCCAACAAAGUAGCUUCUAAGCACCUAGACAAAUGGAGGUUU